AUACGAAUUGGUAUGAGCUAUUUUAAUUCCUGUAGGGGUUGUUUAUAUGUAGUAUAAUAUUUUGUUAAGUUAAAAUAGGGGUGAAAGGCUUUACAAGUACCAGGAUAUCUUAUUUCCAAGGAAAACUAUUAAGUACAAGACAAAUAAAAAACGACGAGGUUUUUUAUUAAAAUAAAAUAUAAUAAAUUUAUAUACUCCUAGUUUAAUAAUUAGAGGAACAUUGAAUAUACAAUUUAUCUUAAUAACUUAUUCUAAUUAUUUGGAUUUCUUAUUAUUAAAAUGCUGAGUAAUUAUGUUUAAAUUAGUCGUUUCUGAAAGCAUUUUAAGGAACUCGGCAAAUGGAUGUUCAACUGUUUAUCAAAAACAUAGCCUGUUGACUCAUAACUGGUGACUUCUGCUCAAUGAAUAUUAAAUAGCCGCAGUACCCUGACUGUGCGAAGGUAGCAUAAUCAUUUGGCUUUUAAUUGAAGUCUAGUAUCAACGAAUAUAUGGGCAUUAACUGUCUUAAAGUGACUAUUCUAAUUUACUUAGAAGGUGCAAAUACCUUUAGGAAAAUAAUAGACGAGAAGACCCUUGAAAUUUUUAUCAUUUGUAAAUUUCGUUUUUGUUGGGGCGACAGAGUAGCAUAAAAACCUACUUAAAAAUUAAGACAAUUUUAAUUUAAAUAUUUAAAUUACUCAAGGGAUAACAGCAUAAUUUUUAAGAGUUUGUGACCUCGAUGUUGGAUUAAGGAGCUCUAACUUAGAAAGUU
rnacentral:rRNA from 1 species